AUGGCCACUGAUGAGUUCCUGCUCCUGCUCGACCGUCUGCCGAAAUCUCCAGAGGCGCUGGACAUGAUGUGUGAAAAGGCUGUGGAAUUGGUUAAUAUCGUCAUGGAGGAAGAUGAGGGUGGAAUGGUGACCUCUCAGGGCAUCCACUCUGCCAUUUCCUUGAUCUUCAUCAUUACUGAGAGGGAUGCGGGUAAGCCGAAGGUGAAGAAUGUGGAGGAUUUCAAGGAGUGGCUGCGGGAGCUUUCGUUGAAGAGAAUACUGGUGCAGAUGAUGCUUCAUGUGGAAGAAAUAAUCAAGACUCUGUCAAAGAUAUUUCCAGCUCCAGUGACGCAGUUACAGAACCAGUAG
rnacentral:rRNA from 1 species